rnacentral:rRNA from 1 species
UACAGAGGGGGCAAGCGUUGUUCGGAAUUACUGGGCGUAAAGGGCGCGUAGGCGGCCUGUUAAGUCGAACGUGAAAUCCCCGGGCUCAACCCGGGAACUGCGUCCGAUACUGGCAGGCUUGAAUCCGGGAGAGGGAUGCGGAAUUCCAGGUGUAGCGGUGAAAUGCGUUGAGAUCCACAGGAACUCCGGUGGCGAAGGCGGCACGCUGGACCCCCAGCUGGACGCCUGGAGGCGCGAAGCCAGGGGAGCGAACGGG